GAGGGUUUCUGCCUUUCGGAGGGUUUGGGGGGCUGUCGGUCCCGUUAGAAGGCCACCAACAGCCCCCCAGGUUGCCAAGGGCCUGUUAGUUGUGUUCCUGGAAGAAGGUGGAGUCUUUUCACUUCCUUGAAUCUGAGUGGAUCCUUCGACUGUUUUGACCAAGACUAUGUGGUAGAAGCGAAGUUCCAGUUCCAGGUAUUGCUCUUAUUUCACCUGACAAGUUUGGUUUCCUGCCUUUUGGAAGCUGACCACUAUGUUAGAAAUGUAAUCACCCUGAAAUCACUAUGUCGUGAGAAACCCAAAGGCAAGUGAAGAAGCCCUGGAGGAUGCGACAUCAAGUGUAGAGGCAAAAGAGCACCAAGGAAGAGGCCAAAGAACACUAAGUGAAGAAGCCAUUUUGAAAAUGGAUCCUCCAGCCCCAGCUGCCCUAGUUGUUACGUAAAUCAGAUAAAUUGCCCAGUGGUACCCUUCCCAAUUUCUG
rnacentral:lncRNA from 1 species